CUGGUUGUGUAAUGUACGGUGUACAGUUGCAACAGAGUACCUAACAUAAACUUGGGAAAAUUGGCUUCGCAAUUUUUAUUUGCCAGGCUCAAAUUGGCUUCAAGGAUAAAAUACUGUGGGGCGAUCUUUCAAGAUGGAGUGUCGGUCACCCAUGUGCAUAUGAUUUGAGACGGUGUUCGUCAAGGCACAAAUGGGCUGGGCCGGGCCACACAACACUCAUCAAGCCGCGAAGAGGAGGGGGGUGACGGGCAGCGUCCAGUCAGUCACUCCGAGUGGCAGUGCUACCGGCGUGACAGCGAAAGUUAACGUCACGGCCUUUGUGUGUUUUCAGCCAUGUUUUUCUCCUAACCGAUCCAUUCCACUGAUAGUCUUCUUCUGACUCUUCACGUCCCAUCGUGACUACUCCCAUUAUCACCAGCCAGAGACAAGCCGUCCCUCCUCCGGUCCUUUUACCCCACCAGUAUCCUGCCUGCUUCAAAUUCAUUCUUUUCGCUCCAAUUGUGCCUCUUGUCUCAUUUGCGUACUUGACAACAGUGGUCUUCACAAGCUUUUGGAAAUGACUCCGUCAUUUUCCACGUCAACUGUUGGCGUCCUUCUUUACACCUCCAAGAGUUGAUCAAAGUCAGGUGUGAGACAGUCUCGAGUUACAUCAAAAAGGACGAGAUUUCCACUGUGGGUUAAUUAAAACUGUUCUGGUAUCUAGAAAAAACAUAUAGAGUUCAGAAUUGUCUCUUGUGAAGAAUCAUUCCCUGAUAUGUACCAUGCCUCGCUCAAGUGAGCUCUCAGAAGACCUACGAUUAAGAAUUGUUGACUUGUAUAACGCUGGAAAAGGUUACAAAAGUAUCUCAAAAACUCUUGAUGUUCAUCAAUCCACGGUUAGACAAAUUGUCAAAAAAUGGAAAAAGUUCAGCACCGUUGCUUCUCUUCCGAGGAGCGGCCGCCCUGCAAAGAUGACUGCAAGGGCACAGCGCAGAAUGCUCAGUGAGGUCAAAAAAGAUCCUAGCGUCUCAACGGAAGACUUACAGAAAUCACUGGCACAUGCCAACAUUUCUGUUGACAAAUCUACCAUACGUAAAACAUUAAACAAGAACGGGGUUUAUGG